rnacentral:rRNA from 1 species
CGCCUGUUUAUCAAAAACAUCACCUCUAGCAUAAAUAGUAUUAGAGGCACUGCCUGCCCAGUGACAUACGUUCAACGGCCGCGGUAUCCUGACCGUGCAAAGGUAGCAUAAUCACUUGUUCUUUAAAUAAGGACUAGUAUGAAUGGCUUAACGAGGGUUUAACUGUCUCUUACUUUAAAUCAGUGAAAUUGACCUUCCCGUGAAGAGGCGGGAAUUUUCCAAUAAGACGAGAAGACCCUAUGGAGCUUUAAUUUAAUAGUCUCACAACCCUAAUAAAAUCUUAGGAGUCAAAAUUAUUGUCUACAGACUAGAAAUUUCGGUUGGGGUGACCUCGGAGUACAAAUUAACCUCCGAAUGAUAAUAAUCUAGACACACAUGUCCAAAUUAUAACUCAUUAAUUGACCCAAAUUAUUGAUCAACGGAACAAGUUACCUUAGGGAUAACAGCGUAAA